AUUGAACGCUGGCGGCAGGCUUAACACAUGCAAGUCGAACGAGUGGCGGACGGGUGAGUAAUGCUUGGGAAUCUAGCUUAUGGAGGGGGAUCACUACGGGAAACUGUAGCUAAUACCGCGUACCAUAGGAUGAGCCCAAAUGGGAUUCGGUAGUUGGUGAGGGAAAGGCGCACCAAGGCGACGAUCGCUAGCUGGUCUGAGAGGAUGACCAGUCACACUGGGAUUGAGACCAGGGCCAGACUCCUACGGGAGGCAGGAGUGGGGAAUAGUGCGAAAUGGGGGAAACCUGACGCAGCCAUGCCGCGUGAAUGAAGAAGGCCAUCGGGUUGUAAAGUUCUUUCGGUAGCGAGGCGUUAACUACAGAAGAAGCACCGGCUAACUCCGUGCCAGCAGCCGCGGUAAUUC
rnacentral:rRNA from 1 species